UUCCGGUUGAUCCUGCCGGAGGGUACUGCUAUCGGAGUUCGACUAAGCCAUGCAAGUCUACUCGUUCACCUGGACGAGCGGCAAACGGCUGAGUAACACGUAAUCAAUCUGCCCUAAGGAAGGGGAUAACCUCGGGAAACUGAGGAUAAUACCCUAUAGGUGAGAGACGCUGGAAUGCCCUCUCGCUCAAAAGGCACACGAAUUGGAGUGUGUCCGUUUUAGGAUGAGGUUGCGGAGGAUUAGGCAGUUGGUGGGGUAACGGCCUACCAAACCUAUAAUCCUUAGGGGCCAUGUAAGUGGGAGCCCCCAGAAGGGCACUGAGACAAGGGCCCUAGUCCUACGGGAUGCAGCAGGCGCGAAAACUCCACAAUGCGCGAAAGCGUGAUGGGGGAACUCCGAGUGGUCUCCUUCGGGAGACCUUUUGCUUAGUCUAGAAAACUAGGCGAAUAAGGAGUGGGUAAGACCGGUGCCAGCCGCCGCGGUAAUACCGGCACUACAAAGUGGUACCCCACGUAUAUUUGGGUCUAAAGCGUUCGUAGCCGGCCUAGUAAGUUGCUGGUGAAAUCUUCGGCUUAACCGAAGGGCGGGCCAGUAAUACUGCCAGGCUUGGGAGUGGGGGAGGUCAGGGGUACGCCCGGGGUAGGGGUAAAAUCCGUUAAUCCUGGGCGGACCAGCAGUGGCGAAGGCGCCUGACCAAAACACGUCCGACGGUGAGGAACGAAGGCUAGGGGAGCAAACGGGAUUAGAUACCCCGGUAGUCCUAGCUGUAAAUGAUGCAGACUUGGUGUGGCAACAGCUUCGAGCUAUUGCCGUGCCGUAGCGUAGGUGUUAAGUCUGCCACCUGGGGAGUACGGCCGCAAGGCUAAAACUUAAAGGAAUUGGCGGGGGAGCACCACAAGGCGUGGAGGCUGCGGUUCAAUUGGAUUCAACGCCGGA
rnacentral:rRNA from 1 species